GACGGAAAAGCUGGGGACGGAGAAGUUAGGGGCGGAGAAGUAGGGGACGGAGAAAUAAGUGGUGGUAAAGAAGAUGAAGAAAAAGAAGAAGGAGAGGAAGAAACUGGACGAGGAAGAGGAGAAAAUUCUGGAGAAGGAGAUGAUGGAGACGGAGAAGGUGAACUGGGAAUGGGUGAAGAAGGAUAGGGGGCAGUUGGCGAAGUUGGAGCCACAGCAUUUUCAUUAGCUCUACUUUAAACAAAAAUAAGUAUUAAUUUUUAAAUCUAAAUAUUAUUAAUUAUCUAUUAUAACUUACCCUAAUUCACGCUCUUUUUUCUUCCUAUAAUAUUGCCUCACGAGUGAAUGGAAAUUACAAUAGGAAGCUGGCAGCCAUUGAUUGUCCGAUUCUGGACAAUUUUGAAAUUUAACAAAAUACCAGACUCGGAACUUACCAUCUUCACACACAAAUUUCUAAUAAAUGUGAAUGACCUUUCUACUUUCUUGGAAAUUAUGUUGUAAUCUAUCUCUCUAGUUGGGAACGGCAAAAACUGUAGUGACAAGCUUGAAAAAACUGACAGUUGACAUGCUGAAAGUCGUGUCAAAAACAAGAGCUGUUCUGCUAUUGAUACGAUGUCCGCUGGGUGGCGCGACAUAACGUGUCAUUUUUUAUAAUUUUUUUUCGUAGAGGCAGAGUUAUAAGAGGAGAUGGUUACGGCAAUCGGUUUUUUUUGGCCAUAAUAUGGCAACCGGUUUUCCCUCAAUAAAAAUUCGUGCAGGAACGUAACAAAAAUAACCCUACCCAUUCGCCAUCUAGCGGUCGACUGCGAACUAGGUUUCCACAAUCUAGUUUGCAAAGUAAACAUGUCUUUUUCAAUUCCUGUUCUUUUGUAAUUAUUUUAGAUUGAACUAAAAAUUGUCUUUUAUAAGCUAGUAUUACAAAAGGUCAUGGACUAAUUUAUGUUACAGGAGCUGGUCGUGACUUAAAAGAGCCAAGGCUUUGUCCGCAAGUGCUUCAAAUAUACCGUAGAGGCACCUGGUGGUGGUUUGGAGCAAUAUAACAAAAUAAUUUCGCGCAAGUUUGUUUAAACAUUUGUAUUGAUGCUUACUUUUGACAAUACAUUUUUUUCCAUGAACAAAAGUUCUUGACAGCUUUUUACUAGUUUUCAUAUGUGUUCUUUCUUUGGCUAGGUAAAAAUUACGAAAGCGUUUUGAUUCCGUAUGAAAUCUUAUGUGGACUGGACAUAUUGCAGUAUUAUAUAUGGUAGUGACUCUUCAUACUUCAUGGAAUGCGAUCUUCCAGAUUUAGCUUGCAAUUCAGCUUUCCCCUUCAUAAUAAAGUUUAUUGGUCCAAUAAUUGACGCCAAUAGUUGACGCUUCUGCUAAAAAGUGUAAGUUGAAAGACUUGGCUUGUUAUUACCGAUUAUUUUGAUAACAGUGACGUCAUGACUCGUAAGUGUGAAAGAAGACAAGACGGAGAAAGAAGCAAACACUAUAAAUUGAUUGAAAUUUAGAAAUCUUGGUUCAAAAAUCUGUUUAUCUUUGGCCCACGUUACAUGUCUAUAGACAAUUUUUUUCAAAAAAAUUGCCCGAAGGACAUUACCGAAGGAAUCUUGUUUUCAUUGUUUUACCAAGAGAUUACCUAGCUAAGAAAUAACCAGCAUGUGAUUUAAACUGUCUCUUACUAUCAUAUUUUGAAUAAUACAUUAUGUGUUAAUUUUUUUAUAUAUCUUUAGUUUGAAAUUUAAAUUUAAAAUUUAAAUGGGCAUGUCCGCAUCAAUGGGUAUGGGCAGUCCGCAGAUACCAGUCCGCAGUUUAUCCUGCCUGGUCCACACUUUCAAACGGUCCAUAUACGAAACGGCCCGCAUUUUAUCCUCAAGUCCACGAAAAAUCUGUCAAAAAUUUUGGGCCAGUCCGCAGGUGAAAGUCCGCAGUCCGCCUCCGCAUUUUAUCCUGGCCCUCAUGGGUAUGAUAUUUACCAGAAACUGUCCAAAUCAAGGUUUCCUCCACUUGCGACCAUCUUUCCAUCUAUCAGAAGCAGCAAAAUGAGAGACCUAUUUGCUAUUUGUCUGCAAAAUCUGUUCGAUAAAACAAAUAAUAUUUGAAAUUUGGUUGGAUCAUUGCACCUAAAACUUACAGUAUAUUUUUGACAUACAGACCUUUUCAAAUUAAAACAAAUUUUUUACCUUCAUUUCAUCCGCCGAAAUGUCUGUAUAUGCAUCUGUAUAUGCUCUAUGUUGUAUCCCCUAUCAUACGUGGACUGCGGACUGCCUUUCAAAAUUUUCGGGCCAGUCCGCAGUUUGUCCAGUCCACGUCCGCAUUUUAUUCUGCCCGAUAUUACCUCCCCGGUUUGACGAGGAAACCAAUAACUUAAGCGAAAUCAGUGUUCAAAUUUUGAUAAUACUGUGUGAUUUUUCCCUCCAAGGCUAUCGGUAACUUCGCAGUUUUGCCAUCAUGCAAUGACAGCCUAUCGUGGCAAUAGAUUCAAGCAUUUCGGGAAACAAGAGGAUAGUUUCUUUAUAUACUUUUUCAAAUUUUUUUAGAGGAUAACGAUCAGGAAACCAGAGAAUAGUAUUUUUAUACAAUCCCUAUCGGGAUUUUUUAAACCAUCAAAACCCCAAUGUAUUAUUAGCUACAAUACGGAUAAUUGUUAUUUAAUUAUCGCAUCUAACAAUUAACUCUCCGAAUAAAAUUGGAUUUGAAGUAAAAUUAUAACCUUCACAUACAUGUUUUACAGACAAGAACAAAGUUCACAACAGCAAUACCAUAGUGCGAUUCAGUGACAUUACAUAACGAUUUAAUGUUGCAUUGAAUAUGCAUUUGCAUGAAUUAACAA